AGUGAACGCUGGCGGUAGGCCUAACACAUGCGAGUCGAACGGCAGCACAGUAAGAACUUGCUCUUACGGGUGGCGAGUGGCGGACGGGUGAGGAAUACAUCGGAAUCUACUUUUUCGUGGGGGAUAACGUAGGGAAACUUACGCUAAUACCGCAUACGACCUACGGGUGAAAGCAGGGGAUCUUCGGACCUUGCGCGAUUGAAUGAGCCGAUGUCGGAUUAGCUAGUUGGCGGGGUAAAGGCCCACCAAGGCGACGAUCCGUAGCUGGUCUGAGAGGAUGAUCAGCCACACUGGAACUGAGACACGGUCCAGACUCCUACGGGAGGCAGCAGUGGGGAAUAUUGGACAAUGGGCGCAAGCCUGAUCCAGCCAUACCGCGUGGGUGAAGAAGGCCUUCGGGUUGUAAAGCCCUUUUGUUGGGAAAGAAAAGCAGCAGGUUAAUACCCCGCUGUUCUGACGGUACCCAAAGAAUAAGCACCGGCUAACUUCGUG
rnacentral:rRNA from 1 species